GAAAGCCUUGUGAUGGGAAACUACCACGUUAGGUUUGGAGAGAGAUGGGACCGAUUAUAUAAUAAGGGAAGCAGAUGCAAGCUUUUUUCAAUAGCCAUCCAAAUGACUAUAGGAUCAUUGAUAUACUCUAC
rnacentral:ncRNA from 1 species